ACUAACGUAGUUUAAAAUAUCUAAAACAGUAAUUUUGUAAAUUACAAUUAACUCUAUUCAAGUUCGCUAGUU
rnacentral:tRNA from 1 species